CUUGGUGGCAGAGCCGAGCUGAAGCCUGAAGAGCUCCAGAUGGACAUUUGCAGACACCUUGCCAAAGAAAAUGCAGAACUGCUGGAGAACUUGUAUAGCACAACCAUCGCGUCCUUCAGUAGCAGCUGGGAAGGGAUCCGGGCAGGUGCCGCCAACUUAGCUGGCAUCAUCCUGGAACACACAGACACUCAGCGUAUGAAAUGGCUGGACCUGGAACAUCUGC